rnacentral:tRNA from 1 species
AGCUCCUUAGCUCAGUUGGUCAAGAGUAUUUGAUUUACAUUCAAAGGGUCGUGUGUUCGAAUCACACAGGAGCUA